ensembl:snoRNA small nucleolar RNA SNORA1
AGCCUUAUUCUACAUAAGAAUGGGUGCUGUCAAUCAGUGUCCAAAACUGGAUAAUGUGGCUAAAUUGAGACACAGGUCAUGCUUCCAUCACAGUAGAUAUAUUACAGUGGUGACAAUGAGACCUGCAACAUUU